rnacentral:lncRNA from 1 species
UGGGAUUCAUUGCUCUCUUUUGGUAUGUCCGAAGACAAUGACAGUGUGCUCAUAUAAAUAAAUAAAUCUUAAAAAAAAUUUUUUCCCCUUGGUCAAAAGGGUCAUAGUAGAAACAGCUCUCACUUUGGGGAACUGUUGUUGCCCAGAAAUCACACGGGAAUUAACCCAUUUACUAAGAAAGGUUUCUUUUAGUUAGGAACUCUUUGACGAGCUGACUAGACAAACAUAAUUUGCCACACCCAUUCCAGUGAAGACUGCCGUGGCAGGCCCAAAAGCUUGGACACAGUCCUGAGGCAGAGUUUCAUGGAAACUUAGCCUCCUGAAAACUUUGGUAUCCUGUAGAACGAAUUCUCCAAACCUGUCCCUGGAUUAGUCAGUGAAUGGAUAUGUGUGCUUUCUUUCAGUAUUGUUUUAUUAUAGGUGCCUCCAAGAAAUGACUUGUCAAAUACCUAAGUGAAAUUGAACUUUGCUUCCUGGCCUUCACCAAUGUCCUAGUCAGUCUUUGAGCUGACCCUGGGCUUGGAAUUCAGUAAGAAUGUUACCUAUUCAGCGACAUUCAGAAUUGUCUCUAGUAUUGUAAGAGAGAUAGUGAAAGAAAUAAGGCAUUACUAUCUACUACAUAGAGUUAGAAAUCUCAGGGCAAGCUAAGCAAAGUAAGUUUAGAAUUCUUAUUAUAGUUAUGUAUGGCAGACUACAUUACUUAAUAGAAGAGAGUCCCCCACACUAUCACUUAGAAUAAAAGCUGAGUCACUCCCAUAUACAGGAAUUUACAAUGGUUUAAGAAGUAGAUUGGGCUGUUGUUUAAGGAGGAACUAGAGUUUUGCAUUAUUCAUGAGAAAGUUAGCUAGAGCGGAACUCCCUAAUUAGAACCAUGACUUGGGCAUGAAAGCACUUGCCCCUGGAGUGUAAAGACCUCACACCUGGCUUCUAAGAAUAUGGCUGACCUUAGAUAGAGCUGACUUUGUCUCAGUUGUUAUAUUGCCUAGUUCUUGCCCAUCUUUAUGUUUGCAUUCCUCUGUUUUGUGCAAGAGUCAUAAAGCAUCCGGUAACCUCAUUGUACCUUGGCUGAUGUGUCACCUAACUUCCGUAUUCUCUUCAGUCUUAUAAGUCUGAUGCUUGCUUUGAGAAAUUACAUUCAGAUACAGCAAUCCCUCUGGUGUCCAUGUCUGUUGUCAUCCCAUGGACUCCCUGCUCACCUGAUUACCGAAAUCCUGGUUCCCUGUGGGUUGAAGGACCAACUGAGUCCUGUCUGUGGCAAUAAUUGAAGAGAUUUUUUAAAAAGACUAAUAAUUGAGGAGUUCCUGAGGGGUUUUUGUUUUUGUUUUUUUUUUUUCAGAAUCACAGGAAGACAAAUCAAAACUCUUGUAGGUUUUCCUGUGUCUACCACCCUGAGGGUGAACAGUGGUCAAACCACUGGUUCCCACAGGUUCCCAAGAAGGCUUCUGUGCAUGUGUCUCUGGCUAUACAAGGCUGGGGCUUGUUGCAAAACAAAGUAUAAUGUAAAGACAUUGAAAAGCAAGUUCAAGAAGAAAAUAGAUGAAAGCUGUAUUGGCUGGGGAUGGGGAAAGUCUUUCUAUGUAGAAACCACAAAGGAAAAAGUUAGUAGACUUGAAGUUCUGACACAUGCAAAUCUAAAAGUUCUGCAUGCUAAAACCACCAUC